CUCGAUCCUACGCCCACUAUUUCUUUAUCCUCCUCACCAUGUAUUUUUUCAACAAUUUCUGACACUUAGCACCACCAAACUCAUCUUUUUAGCUACCAAAGACGCGAUCGUUUUUCCUCCAUCUCAUUGAACCCUCAACCAUCCAAAUCAGGUUUUUUCGAAUCGUCGUAGCCCCCCGUUCAACUGCCUCCUCGUUUUUUCGCACGAAUCUAACGCGAAGGAGUCGUGCUCCGGCGAGUGUUUCGGAAAAUACAAAACCACUACUUAUUUUGGUAAAUUGUCGUAAUUAACAAAACUUGCAAUUUCCAGACCUGGGACUUCGGAGUGCAUUCAUCGGCUUACAGGGAGGAAAACAUAGAAUGAUGCAGGCGAGAUGGCUCGCCAAGCUCGGUCGAGAUGUGCUCUCCUCUUCCCGUUCCGUCAUCUUUCUUCUCCCUUCACGAUGUCUGGCAGCAUCGGCGUUCUCCACGAAUCCAAUCCGUAAGCCCGUCUCCCAUGCCUUCAUUUUCACGGCCCGUCGUCACAGCCAGUCGCCAGGUUUAGGGUUUUACCCUACCUCUCCUUUCCUCCAGGCGAUUCAAGCUCGUCUUUAUGCCGCAGAGGAUAGAUCUCGAGCACCGCUGAAGCCGGUUAAGUCUAAAGUGAAGAAAUACAAGCUGAAGUCUUACUCGUCUUUUAAGUUCAGAUUUAGGACCAUGAAUGAUGGACAGAUACGGAGAUGGAGGGCUGGAAAGAGGCACAAUGCACACUUGAAGUUGCUAAUACUUUUAAGUGUUAUAGAAGCUUACCUUGGCUGGACGCUCUGUGAAACUUUAUACAAAACUUGACUAGUGAAAAGUUAUGCAUGUUUUGUAUAGUACGCCACUGCCUACUGGAUGUGGUUGGAAGAGAGGAUGCAAACCAAGAAGGCAAAACGAAGACUGAGGAAACCUGCGAUUGUGCAUUUAGCUUAUGCAAAGGUUCUAAAGAAGCUGAAUUUUUGUGGCUAGCACUGAAGGUCUUGCGAUUUCAAUUUGAACUCCCAAGUUGCUGGGGCACUUCUCUACAUCAAAAUUACCAUCUAGCAGUUUAAUUUCCAAGACCUUGAACUUUGAUCCUUGCGAUAUCAGGAAACGCUAGAAUGACCUUUUCCUAUUCGAGAGAGAGCAUACUAACAUACUGUGCCUCUCCUUCCUCUUUGUAAUAGAAAUAUGCAAAUCUGUCCAGCGAUUUAUUUAUAUAUUUUGCAUAGUAGUAGCUUCCAUGCGUUCCGAAUUCAGCGUGAGCUGGAACUCUAUGAACAGAAUGCAAAAGACAGCCUUCUUUUUCUGGAUGGUUAAGCUUGUCCAGUAAAAAUAUGUUAAUGUAGUUUUUGGUUAUAUGUAUCACGUUUUUUUUUAUCACAAAUCUCUGUGGAUUGCUUUCUCUUUAAUAUUUACUAUAAAAUUAAUGAUUGAUUUCCUAUGCCAUCUCAAGAACUGAACUGAAGAUAGAGAGAGCACUUGUUCAUGUACAUCGAAUUGGCUGGUUCAACGGGUGGAUAAACUGAGGAUUUUAUUAAAUAAAGAGAGCCAUCUACCUACUGUUUCUUGAAACUGAUAAUGCUUUUUAACCAUCAGUUUUCUAGUUUUAAUAGAUUAUUUGUUUCAACUCUAGGUAAAUCUAUCUACAGCUGGACUUGGUUUAAUUUUUUCUUAAUUCACACAUCUUAGCUGGAAUAUCCCCUUUGCCAAUGUGAAUUUAUUAGACAGGUGAUUCUGCCCUUUAAUCAAAGAUGUUAUCGGCACCACCUGAAAGUUGAACAAAAGCAUUUCAUGAUCUGUGUGCUCAAACAAAUCUCGCCCCAGAGCCCUUAACCCUGGUGCACUCGCAUUGUCCUCCUUUGGUUGCUCCUCAACCUUUGUUCUUAGUGUUUUUUUUUAUGUGAUCAUCAGCAACGACUUGAG